GCAGCCGCGUCGCCAUUGAACGACCCCCUGAAUACAGUGUUCUACUACCUCUACAACACUGUACUCCGAAUGGCCAAUUCGCACAUGCGACAUAUCAUCACCUAUUUCAGGAGGCGUCACGUGCGGCUGCGACCACGGUGGCUGCUGCUGCGCGACGAGCAGCGAGGAUGAGGUCCAGUCGGCGGCGUGCUCCAGCGAGAGCAGUGGCAGCUGCUCGUCCUGCUCGCACGAAGACGCCUGCAAGGCGGACGCGUCCUCCACGCGUGACCAGUCGUACAGCGCCGGCAGCGUCUCCUCAACAUCGGCAUGCAGCGGCUGUCGUGAGCCUGAGAUCGGCACUCUGCUGCGCACCACCGCCUCUUUCUGCGAGACCUUGGCCCGGGCUCUCAGCGGUGAGCAGCACGCAACCAAGAGGUACCGAAACGUACGGAAGAUCACCAUGCAUGCAGCUAACAAGAAAUGAUACUUUAGCUCUACUGCUCCGGCAUCGCCGUGAAAUAAUACAAUUUCAAUAACAACCGAUGUCGAUUCUUUUCAUUUGAUCAAUCAGGAAGACAACCUUGAGACUCCGCCGAAUUUUUUACGCAAUAGGCUACACCUACAUUUUUAAAGGGGUCUUGAAAUCCCUUCAAAACUUACUGCUUUGUUCUCCUCGUGAGCCGCUGUAUUAUUGAACCCUAUUAUUCACUCUGACCACCGGUUGUCUUUUAAAGUAGACGUUUCAAAACACUUACGCUCCGAUUACCCCGUGUCAUCUCUCCCUGUGCACCCGCUGGGGCAAGAUGAGAAAAUAAAAUUGCUUGAAGUGUGCGACAAACCCUUGUAAACUCCUCUCCUUCUCGACGAAUUCGAGAUAAUAUUCCCGGCAAUCAAUUCGCGAAGCAAUGAGCUCCGAAGCUGAUAUCAUUCGAUGAAUACCAGGAAAAAUGGCUCAGGACCUCCUAGUAUAUGCAACAUUCUACGAGUCUGUACUGGUUUAAAAUGUUCAGCUUCUAUUUGAACAAGCGAGCUUCUGGUUCCGAAAUAAUAUACCGAAGGAUGGCCUAUGGUUUGUAUACAUGCAUCACUGAAAUUUCCCCCUAUAGUAAUGGUGUACAUGUGCGGUGGUGAAUCGCGUGCCCUGGUUGGGUACAUGUGUUCAUUCUUGAUUAAUAAAGCACCCGGUCAAUUCCAA